AUCCUUUUACAACAGGUGUCCCUGGAGUUUACAAAGUUCAAAUAUUGAGGUUUCAGAACCCCUAAUUUAAUAUCCAGUGAGUCUACGACAGAUAAAGGAUUAAGCUGACAUUAUCCACAUUGUCUUUGCAUGGUACAGUGUAGCUGCAGCUUACAAUAGAGCCAACAGCAGUAGACAUAGCAUGCUUCAUCAAAGAUGCACCAGAUGCAGUGGCACAGUCUCCAUCACUGAUGAAAUGGGAUAUGACUAGUGGACAGUCAUCACUUUGUAACUCACCAACACAAUUAGUGACCCAUCUCUUCUUGUCUCCAGUGGUGUCUCCGGAGGAAUGCUUGCAGUGCAGUCUUCAUGUCCUGGGCAGUUUGUUGCAUGUUGGUGGAUGUUGCUGUUUUAACAUUAGCACCAAGAAGUCAUGCUUUUACCUUCUACUUGUGGUACCUAAGUGACCAACAGCCAUGGUCACAUUUAGCCGUGCAACUCUUCGACCCCUUACAGAUCUUCUUACCUCUUCAUAGAGCUUUUCUCUAUGAAUGGUAUAUUGGCACUUCUUACAUUAGAUAGAAAGGAUCCAUGCCAGGCCUUGUUUUUCCUCCCCAUGCUGAUACCAGUCCAGUGAAUGGUCAUUACAGUUUGGAAACUUCACUUUUGUCCAUUAUCUAACUUUGGUUGGGAGUUCCAACCUUUGGGAGGAGGAGCCAUUUUUUUCCAUGAAUAAUAACUUUCACAGUUGGAUUGAUUAAUAAUGAUGGAUAUUCUUGGAUAACUGCAGUGAUGGACACAAACUAGCAAACAAACUUGGAUUGAUUAAUAAUGAUGGAUAUUCUUGGAUAAUUGCAGUGAUGGACACAUUAACUAGCAAACAAACUUGGAUUGAUUGAUAAUGAUGGAUAUUCUUGGAUAACUGCAGUGAUGGACACAGACUAGCACACCAUUUUUGUGAGAAACAGUGGAAAAGUUCUACAUUAGAUCAACGUUGAUUGACCAAUUAAUGCACUUAAAAAUUAAUCUUCUAAGAAUUAUGAAAUGUGUGUGAAUAAUAUGUCAGAUAUCUAAUUAAAGGGAGACUACUUCAGCAGGCCACUGUUUGUGAUACAUUUUCUUUUGUAAUUGUGUAAUUUGCAGAGCUCAAAUCCAAAAAAUAUUAAUGUUUGAAAUAUUAUGUAUUUAUAGUGAUAACAUAAUUAAUGCAAUAUUCAAUAUUUUUUCUUUCAUAAUUUCUAAUAAAAAUUUUCAAUAAGACACAUUUAUUAUAUAUACUGUAUAUUGUUGAGAGAGGGCGAGAAUUUAUUUAAACAGGUUCUUACAGCACUCCGAGAUUUUGUCAAAUUAAAUUCAUCUUAGUACAUAAUAUAAUAAAUUUUAUGAGAAUACUAUAGUAAAUCUAU